UACGAAGGGGGCUAGCGUUGCUCGGAAUUACUGGGCGUAAAGCGCACGUAGGCGGCUCUUUAAGUCGGGGGUGAAAUCCUGGAGCUCAACUCCAGAACUGCCUUCGAUACUGGCGAUCUAGAGUCCGGAAGAGGUGAGUGGAACUCCUAGUGUAGAGGUGGAAUUCGUAGAUAUUAGGAAGAACACCAGUGGCGAAGGCGGCUCACUGGUCCGGUACUGACGCUGAGGUGCGAAAGCGUGGGGAGCAAACAGG
rnacentral:rRNA from 1 species